CUAGUGGUAAGGAGACGGGCUUGGGACGCUAAC
rnacentral:sRNA from 1 species